rnacentral:tRNA from 2 species
GCGCACGUAGCUCAGCUGGAUAGAGCGCCAGCCUCCGGAGCUGGAGGUCACAGGUUCGAAUCCUGUCGUGCGCA